rnacentral:rRNA from 1 species
UACGGGGGGGGCGAGCGUUGUUCGGAAUUACUGGGCGUAAAGGGCGCGUAGGCGGUUUGCUACGUUAGAUGUGAAAACUCUGGGCUCAACCCAGAGCCUGCAUCUAAAACUGGCAGGCUAGAGUUCUGGAGGGGGUAGCGGAAUUCCUGGUGUAGCGGUGAAAUGCGUAGAUAUCAGGAGGAACACCGGUGGCGAAGGCGGCUACCUGGACAGAAACUGACGCUGAGGCGCGAAAGCUAGGGGAGCAAACAGG